GAAAUUCAUUCUACUAAAUUAGCAAAUUUCAUUAAAGAAUAAUAAACACAUCAAGAAUUCUUUAAUUUAUUCAUUUGGCUGCAUGGAUUUGGAUUAUUCAUUUAUUUCAAUUUCAAUCUUUAUCUUACCCAUCUAAAUCAACUUCAUCCAACCAAAUCCCCUGAACUAAAAAUUAAAUACAUUACAGAGAGAGUGAUAUGUAUGAAUUAUUGUCGGGUAUUAAUUUUGUGGGUUGAUGAAAUGGGGGAUAUUGGAAGAAUCUAGGGAUUUGGAGACGGCCUUUUUUGGUUUUGAGGAAAAGGGCCGUUGUUUAUUUGAAGGGAUUUGCUGAAAGAGAUGAAGGAUUUGUUGGGGAGUCCAGGGUCUGUAAGUGGAUUAUUUUUGAGGAUUUUACAGUGUAUAUUUGCAGCUGGAUCCAUUGGAGUUAUGGUGCUCAUGGGUUUUCUAACUUCACUGCUUACUGGUAUAUUUCUUUUCCCUGCCCCAUUUUGCCCCUAUGAAUAGAUAUUUUCAUUUUUCACUGGUUCUAUUUAAGUUUAAUGAGAUUGAUUUGUGAGUUAUUUUUAAACCUGGUAUUUCUUGUGAAAAAUAAAAUGGGACUUUUAAAUGUAGUAUAGUCUUCAGGUGCCUUCUGUUGUUUAAUACAAAAACAAUAUGGUUUGAUGUGUCUGCCUAGUUUAUCUGGAUAAGAUGGAUCCACGACCACAUUAUUUUGAGAAUUCUAAAAUUUUGCUGAAUUUUAGUAAGUUAACAUAUAAGAUAAUUUGAUAUUGUCGUGUUCCAAUUUCUAUUGCUGGUGUAUGAAUGAAUUUUUUUAUAGAAAUGUUCAUCUUUCGACUGGAUGCUGUUGGUGUUACUACAGUAAGAAUUUCGAGCUUCCUAUUUAAACAUCUGGAAGUUCAAACGAAAUGAAAUUGGUAGCUAUUCACGUUUUAAGCAACGUAGACUCAACUAUGUAUUUAUCUAUGAAAUGCCUGAUUUUGGAAGUAGGAUUUUUACCUUGUUUUACAUAAGUGUAACUAAAAAUUAAAUCGGUGCUCUCAUUUAUUUCUAUUUGGAAAUUCUUAUCAAUAUUUGCUACAUCUAAUAUGCAAUAAUCUCAGUUUCUCAGUCUUCAUAUUAUAUGUAACAAUAAGAUUUCUCUCUGACUUUGCUCAAGUUGAUAUUUUUGUUUCUAAUAUUCCCUCAUUUUGCUAAAAUAGACACAAGCACAAGAAAUAUGUUUUCAUUGAAGAAAACAUUGCUCUACACGAUCUACAAGGAGAUCAUUGGAUCUUAAUCAGUUUCAUAAUUUUGAUGAUAUUUAACUGUUUGAUUCAGCUAUCUGAUUGCAUCAAUGGAGCUUCAAGUAUUAUGGACCUUUGGACUUGCAUGUCUAGAUGCCUAUGCUUUGUGGAUAAAAAGACCUGCGCAAUCCAGUCUUACCGAGCCUGUUUGUUGUGGGUGACUGGGUAAUUACCUUAUCCUUUAAUUCAUUUACUGUAUCGUACUGUAAUCUGAUUACUUUUUUAUGAUUCUUGAUCUUGUUGUGUGAAACCAUGUUGACAGUUUUCAUAUUCCCUCGUGUCUUCAUUUUAGAUCAACUCUGGUUAUGAUAUCCAAUAUUUCCAUUAUGUUAAACGAAUUGAUUCUGUGCCCUUUUAUUUUAUCAGAAUGAGUUUGUGCCAAGCCUCUAGCCCCAAUUUCUUCAGAUUAUGAAUAUAAUUUAGACACAACUUUUUUUCUCUACAGUUGGGGCUAGAGUGCUUUAGAACUUUUCAAUUGUAAUUCAGAUGGUUAUUUUGAUUUUCCAGGACAUUGUUAAAGUCUUAUCCCUUGUAUACUUGAGCACUGUAUAAGUCUACAUUACAAUGACAUGUGAG
rnacentral:lncRNA from 1 species